CGGCCUUCCGGCCAAAUAUUAUAAAACAUUAAUUAACCAAAUAUCACCAGUGCUGGGAGAGGUUAUGAACAAUAUAUUGAGAGAAGGAAAGAUACCUAAUACCUGGAAGGAAGCCUAUGUUAUAUUGAUCCCUAAAAAAGAGGUGGACACUAUGGAAGUAAAGAACUAUAGGCCAAUCUCAUUAUUAAAUAAUGAUUAUAAGCUAUUUGCAGACAUAAUGGCGGAAAGAUUAAAGAAGGUCUUGAUUAAUAAAAUUCAUGGUGAUCAAACAGGAUUUCUCCCAGGGAGACAAUUACGGGAUAAUGUAAGGAAUUUGAUUGACAUUAUUGAAUACCUGGACAUGAAAAUAGACAGAAAAGCCGCACUGGUUUUCAUAGACGCCGAAAAGGCAUUUGAUAAUGUUUCCUGGAACUUCCUAAAGAAGGCUUUGGAAAGGAUGGGAAUUGGCGAAAAAUUUAGAAGAGGCAUAGAAGCAAUAUAC